rnacentral:rRNA from 1 species
UACGUAGGGGGCAAGCGUUGUCCGGAAUUAUUGGGCGUAAAGAGCUCGUAGGUGGUUUGUUACGUCUGCUGUGAAAACCUAGGGCUUAACCCUGGGCUUGCAGUGGAUACGGGCAGACUAGAGGUAGGUAGGGGAGAAUGGAAUUCCUGGUGUAGCGGUGAAAUGCGCAGAUAUCAGGAGGAACACCGGUGGCGAAGGCGGCAUCCUGGACCGGCAUUGACGCUGAACAGCGAAAGCUAGGGGAGCAAACGGG